UGGGGAAUUGUUCGCAAUGGGCGCAAGCCUGACGACGCAACGCCGCGUGGAGGACGAAGAUCUUCGGGUCGUAAACUCCUUUCGAUCGGGAAGAACGCCUUCCGGGUGAACAAUCCGGAGGGGUGACGGUACCGAGAGAAGAAGCCCCGGCUAACUCUGUGCCAGCAGCCGCGGUAAUACAGAGGGGGCAAGCGUUGUUCGGAAUUACUGGGCGUAAAGGGCGCGUAGGCGGCCUUCUAAGUCGAACGUGAAAUCCCCGGGCUCAACCCGGGAACUGCGUCCGAUACUGGGAGGCUUGAAUCCGGGAGAGGGAUGUGGAAUUCCAGGUGUAGCGGUGAAAUGCGUAGAUAUCUGGAGGAACACCGGUGGCGAAGGCGGCAUCCUGGACCGGUAUUGACGCUGAGGCGCGAAAGCUAGGGGAGCAAA
rnacentral:rRNA from 1 species